AGUGAACGCUGGCGGUAGGCCUAACACAUGCAAGUCGAACGGCAGCACAGUAAGAGCUUGCUCUUACGGGUGGCGAGUGGCGGACGGGUGAGGAAUACAUCGGAAUCUACUUUUUCGUGGGGGAUAACGUAGGGAAACUUACGCUAAUACCGCAUACGACCUACGGGUGAAAGCAGGGGAUCUUCGGACCUUGCGCGAUUGAAUGAGCCGAUGUCGGAUUAGCUAGUUGGCGGGGUAACGGCCCACCAAGGCGACGAUCCGUAGCUGGUCUGAGAGGAUGAUCAGCCACACUGGAACUGAGACACGGUCCAGACUCCUACGGGAGGCAGCAGUGGGGAAUAUUGGACAAUGGGCGCAAGCCUGAUCCAGCCAUACCGCGUGAGUGAAGAAGGCCUUCGGGUUGUAAAGCCCUGUUGUUGGGAAAGAAAAGCAGCAGGUUAAUACCCCGCUGUUCUGACGGUACCCAAAGAAUAAGCACCGGCUAACUUCGUG
rnacentral:rRNA from 1 species